rnacentral:SRP_RNA from 2 species
GCCGGGCGUGGUGUCGGGCGCCUGUAAUCCCAGCUACUCGGGAGGCUGAGGCAGGAGAAUCGCUUGAACCCAGGAUGUAGAGGUUACAGUGAGCUGAGACUGUGCCACUGCACUCCAGCCUGGGCAACAGAGUGAAACUCUGUCUCAA